rnacentral:rRNA from 1 species
AUUGAACGCUGGCGGCAUGCCUUACACAUGCAAGUCGAACGGUAACGGGCCUUCGGGUGCCGACGAGUGGCGAACGGGUGAGUAAUACAUCGGAACGUGCCCGAUCGUGGGGGGUAACGAGGCGAAAGCUUUGCUAAUACCGCAUACGAUCUACGGAUGAAAGCAGGGGACCGCAAGGCCUUGCGCGGACGGAGCGGCCGAUGGCAGAUUAGGUAGUUGGUGGGAUAAAAGCUUACCAAGCCGACGAUCUGUAGCUGGUCUGAGAGGAUGAUCAGCCACACGGGGACUGAGACACGGCCCAGACUCCUACGGGAGGCAGCAGUGGGGAAUUUUGGACAAUGGGCGCAAGCCUGAUCCAGCCAUGCCGCGUGCAGGAUGAAGGCCUUCGGGUUGUAAACUGCUUUUGUACGGAACGAAAAGCCUUCUUUUAAUACAGGAGGGUCAUGACGGUACCGUAAGAAUAAGCACCGGCUAACUACGUG